GUGCUUUGCAAUUGAUUUGCAGUGGUUUUGCAGUCAUUUUGCAAUAGAUUUGCAGCGUGCUUUGCACGGUGCAUUGCAUGGUGCUGUGCAUGGUGCUGUGCAGCAGGUUUUGCAGUGUGCUUUGCAAUUGAUUUGCAAUGGUUUUGCAGUCAUUUUGCAAUAGAUUUGCAGUGUGCUUUGCAAUGGAUUUGCAGUGGUUUUGCAGUCAUUUUGCAAUGGAUUUGCAGUGUGCUUUGCAAUGGAUUUGCAAUGGUAUUGCAGUCAUUUUGCAAUGGAUUUGCAGCGUGCUUUGCAUGGUGCAUUGCAUGGUGCAUUGCAUGGUGCUGUGCAGCAGGUUUUGCAGUGUGCUUUGCAGUGGGUUUUGCAAUGGAUUUGCAAUAGAUUUGCAGUGGUUUAGCAUGGUGCAUUGCAUGGUGCUGUGCAGCAGGUUUUGCAGUGUAUUUUGCAAUUGAUUUGCAGCGUGCUUUGCAAUUGAUUUGCAAUGGUUUUGCAGUCAUUUUGCAAUAGAUUUGCUGUGUGUUUGCAUGGUGCAUUGCACGGUGCUGUGCAUGGUGCUGUGCAUGUUUUGCAGCGUGCUUUGCAAUUGAUUUGCAAUGGUUUUGCAGUCGUUUUGCAAUGGAUUUGCAGCACACUUUGCACGGUGCAUUGCGUGGUGCAUUGCAUGGUGCUGUGCAUGUUUUGCAGUGUGCUUUGCAAUGGGUUUUGCAAUGGGUUUGCAAUAGAUUUGCAGUGGUUUAGCAUGGUGCAUUGCACGGUGCUGUACAGCAGGUUUUGCAGUGUGCUUUGCAAUUGAUUUGCAAUGGUUUUGCAGUCGUUUUGCAAUGGAUUUGCAGCACGCUUUGCACGGUGCAUUGCGUGGUGCAUUGCAUGGUGCUGUGCAGCAGGUUUUUGCAGCGUGCUUUGCAAUGGAUUUGCAAUGGUUUUGCAGUGUAUUUUGCAAUUGAUUUGCAAUGGUUUUGCAGUCAUUUUGCAAUGGAUUUGCAGCACGCUUUGCACGGUGCAUUGCAGGUUGCAGCGCAUCCUCACCCAUGACGCCGGGGUUCUUCAUGAGCAGCACGAAGCCGUAGCGCAGCGUGGAGCUGAUGGUUUCGGUGCCGGCAAAGAACAGAUUCAGCGCCGUCAGCUCCAGCAGCUCCAGCAGCUCCUGGUCGUUGUAGUCGAAGCGGCUCCCGAACACCAUGGCACAAAUGAUGUUGGACACGGCGCGGCUCAGCAUGUACGUGGGGUCAAAGGGCUGCCCUAUGGGGGGGGGGGGGCAACAUCAG
rnacentral:lncRNA from 1 species